UACGUAGGGGGCAAGCGUUGUUCGGAAUUACUGGGCGUAAAGGGCGCGUAGGUGGCCUUCUAAGUUGAACGUGAAAUCCCUGGGCUCAACCCAGGAACUGCGUCCAAGACUGGGAGGCUUGAAUCCGGGAGAGGGAUGCGGAAUUCCAGGUGUAGCGGUGAAAUGCGUAGAUAUCUGGAGGAACACCGGUGGCGAAGGCGGCAUCCUGGAGCAACACUGACGCUGAGUGAGCGAAAGCCAGGGGAGCAAACGGG
rnacentral:rRNA from 1 species